AAUAAGCUAAGUAGCAUCUCCCCAUUGGCUUUGGGAAAUCCCUCAGUGCUGUUUGGUUUCCAGCAGAGGGCUAUAGAGCAAAACUGAAGUAUAGGAACAAUAUAAUGAAUUUCCUCCUUUGAUGCACCCAGGGAGGUGAACUGACAGAUGAGUCAGGCUGUGAACAAUGUGCGUUACUGAUCUCAGUUCGGCCUGGCCCAGCCCAGCCCUGCCUGCUGGGCCUGUACCGCACCGCAUUAGAUCCUAAAUGCUAGCUUGUCUAAGAAGGGUGCCUAAUUGGAUUUCCAGUGGCAUUUAAAUGUUGUGGCAUUUCUGGAAAGCAGCAAGGUACUGACAGAAAUCUAAUCCUAGCCCCUUGGACUUGCCUAAAUCUUUGCUGGAUUGAGACUGUUAUGGCUACAGGCCUGUCAGUGGAUUUGAAGGUUGUUUCACAUCUAGCAUUGACCCAUUUUCCCCCAGACUUCCUAAGAGACUUUAACAAUUUCUAUUAGGAUUUUAAUCUUCAUUCUUGUGUGCAAUUUUUAAAAGCAUGACACAGUCGGACAUUUUACAAGCACUCAAAUGCCUAAACAAGGGCUGUGUUUAAACAUUUCCCUUCUACCCUUCCACCUCAGGGCAGGUCAGUAAAGCUAAGCUAUCCACCUUCAAGACAGAAAUGGCCAAUAAUCUUUUCUCUGACACUUUGGAUAAGCUCUGAGUAUUUCUGAGUUCUCUGCAGAUAUGUCAAACUUGGUUAAAUUGUUUGACAGAUUCAAAAGUUAUUUGGCAGAAGAUGAAUGCAUAGACCCUCCUCCUCACACACACACACACAUACACACUGACUGUAUAGAAAACUGGUUAUAACCUGGUUUAUAUUGCCAUAAUGAAUUCAUUUUAGAAGAAAGUAGGAUGGCCUGCAGUUCUUCUUGGAAAAAGUACAACCAACUUAAUGCUUGGUUGGAGCCAUUGAACUAAUAUGCAGGUUCUUGCUGUCUGUGGUUCAGCUAUGAUCUUGAGAAACCUUCUUGCCAAAUAUACACAAUCCAGAUAGAAAGCAUCUAUCUGCUGCUCUGCCAGUGACACAUGGGGACAGACCUGAAUUAGCUUUUAUACCUGCAAGUGAAGAACCACAACAGAGUUCAGCAGAGGGGACAAAAGCUGCUCAAGAAAUGAGCAAUUCUUGAGCGGUUAUCCCAUUCUGAGGCCAGCACUCCCAGCAUUACUGCUGGUGGUUCCUGACCAAGUUAUGGUUAGCAGGCCUGAAGGUCACGAUACCCUUUGAGAGUGCUCCUGCAGUUUUAUAGCACUAACAUUUCUGCCUGCUUAAAAUAAAGGAGAUUCUGUCCUUGCUUGUGGAUAUUCCAUAAGUGCUAAAAAAUCAUUACAUAUAUUACUAGUGGCAAAUUUUUCUCUUCUCUUUACCUUUCUGCCUCCCUCUCUGGAUGACUUAACCCUUGAAAAGUGCUUAUUUGUGUCAACACAAACAUUACCCUGAUUUGCGUUCCCAAUGUAUUGAAAAAAUGUCAGAGUAUACUUCCAGAAACAUUAGAACUCAUCUUUAAGGUGGCAAUAAAAGCAGAGCUACCUCUAGCUGGAAAAAGUGUGCUGCUUUCUAAAUCUAAGUCAAAAUCAGUCAUUUGUGAAGUUUUUCCUGCGGAGUUUUGGUUUUAGAAGAAAUUGAUUGUUGAAGGGGAGAGAGAAUUAGAAGGUAACGUAAAGUAAUUAACCAUUCUGCAGCAGGAGGGAAUGGCUGUUAUGCACACUAUUUCCAGGACUCUCACUCAGGGCUGUCAUCAGUGCACAAAACCCGUAUCCCUGACUAUGCUGGAUAAAUAGUGUUUUUAAAAAGUCAGUUCCUCUUUGUAAAAGUACAGCUGCAACUGAAAGGCAAUUGCAUAUUGAUGAAAAUGAGAGGCCAAGACCAAGAGGUUUACUCACAGUUCAAGUUCAUGUGCUCAUUAGCCAAGCUUAGGGUGGUCUGUCCCUUUGCUCAAGGAAUGAAGGACAUCCCAGACAGUGCCUUUACACACCAACAGAGCAUAAACAAGUAGCUGUGUCUGAGUGUGCUACAUAAAGCUCUAGCUGUAAAUCACACACUUAAGGUUUGCACUGCAGAGUUACUGUUACCUCUAGCUUAUGUCCACCUGUAAGUAUAUUGUCAGCAGGUGUGAGAAUUGCAUUUCUGGAGUGAAGCGUAGCCAUAAUCUUAUGUUGUUGGACUUUAUCAGAAGUCUGUAACGUGUUGGAAUCGGGGUUUUAAAAAGCCUGGAGAUAAGAAAAACACAAGCAUUUGAAUCUCUGAAGAAAGAUGCCGCUCCUUAAAUCUGGAUUCAAAGCCUAGAGAAAAACCAUUAUACUACUAGAAGAGAAAGCAAAAAAAUAUCUAGAGCAGCUAGCGUUGGCCUCUGUCUCGAUCUCUGCCUCGGUGCUUCAUCGUAGAUAAUAUUAUCGUAAUGUCCAUUGUGUGGACCAAAAAUCUGCUUAUUGCCCUUCCCAAAAAGGAUUUUACACUGGUGUGACCCCGUCUGUUACAUGGCAACACAGAAGCAGUAAGUAAGUAAGAGGAAAAAACAAAAACAAACAAAAACACCCCAGGAGGUCAGCUGCUCAGUGAGGAAAAUGUUGCUGAGCUGUGGGGUUUGUCAGACUGAGCUUAAAGGAAUGGGGUUUGCUUGUUUGUUUAUUUUUAAAGCAAAGUUGCACUAAAACAACCAGGACUGCUGCUGAUCCCUGGGCCGCAGCACUCACAAUUUCCAUUUACUGCAGUAUGUGGUUGACCAUAGGAAAGAAUAACUCCUGGCUACUUGCGCUACAACUCUAAGCCAGCCACUUCUGAGACCUAUUCAAUGCUGAUUCAUCCCCAGAGAUCACUGGAAGGCAGAGUCAUUAAUUAAAGGUGCACAGAGCAUUCUGUGGGGCUGGGAGAGAUGUUGACAAGGAAACAGAGUUUUUUUAUUAUAUGAACUUAUAAAUAGCUUUGGAUUUCUUGCCAGAGUGCAUUAAGAGUAUUAACAAGGAGGUGCCUUUCCCUUAAAAUAUCAGGGAAUGAGCUGAGCAGGAGGCAAAGGCGGUGAGGGGGUGUUACUGGGACUUGGCUGUGGGUACCUGUAAAACAAGCAGGUAAAAAGGAUUCCUGUAACACAAAUGGAAAUUCAGGAGAUCUGAUUGAGCCAGUAAUGGUGACAUCUAUCAACAGGAUUUGAGGCCUGCCACAGAAGGGCAUUUUUUGAGCAGAGAUACCCAGAAUAAUUAUUUUGAAUUCCUGUGGAUUCAUAGUUUUGAGUCAAGGAAGGAAGAACUUGGUUUGGAGGGUUUUGAUGUUAUUCCCCAUCUCAAAUGUGUUGCCAAGACAGCUCUUCACACUACAGUCUUGCUUCUGAGCUAACAUAUUGCUAAAAAAAGGACAAGUAAUAAAUAGGGCUAUUUACCAUGUAGAGUCCUAUGAGAAGAACUAACCGCUCAGUGAUCAGCAGCCAAGUUGUUGAAGGUGGGUAAAUUCUCAUUUCCUGAACACAGAGAGAAAGUUGCAAAGACUGCAUUAAAAAUUGUCUGGUGAA